UACGUAGGGGACAAGCGUUGUCCGGAUUUAUUGGGCGUAAAGAGCGUGUAGGCGGCCAAACAGGUCCGUUGUGAAAACUCGAGGCUCAACCUCGAGCUGUCGAUGGAAACCGUUUGGCUAGAGUCCGGAAGAGGAGAGUGGAAUUUCGUGUGUAGGGGUGAAAUCCGUAAAUAUACGAAGGAACGCCAAAAGCGAAGGCAGCUCUCUGGGUCCCUACCGACGCUGGGGUGCGAAAGCAUGGGGAGCGAACAGG
rnacentral:rRNA from 1 species